AUACGGAAGGUCCGGGCGUUAUCCGGAUUUAUUGGGUUUAAAGGGAGCGCAGGCGGAGAUGCAAGCGUGACGUCAAAUUUCGGGGCUCAACCCCGUCUCGCGUCGCGAACUGCGUCCCUUGGUUGCGGGAAGGGGAGGCGGAACUCGUGGUGUAGCGGGGAAAUGCAUAGAUAUCACGAAGAACUCCGAUCGCGAAGGCAGCCUUCCGGCCCGUCAACGACGCUCAUGCUCGAAGGUGCGGGUAUCAAACAGGGUUAGAUACCCUGGUAGUCCGCACAGUAAACGAUGGACACCCGCGGUUUGGCCUAUAUGGCUGAGCCGCCAAGCGAAAGCGUUAAGUGUCCCACCUGGGGAGUACGCCGGCAACGGUGAAACUCAAAUGAAUUGACGGGG
rnacentral:rRNA from 1 species